rnacentral:rRNA from 1 species
CAGCCGUAAACAAUGUGCGUUAGGUGUGUCGGUAACCACGUGUUACUGAUGCGCCGAAGAGAAAUCGUGAAACGCACCACCUGGGAAGUACGGUCGCAAGGCUGAAACUUAAAGGAAUUGGCGGGGGAGCACCACAACAGGUGGAGCCUGCGGUUUAAUUGGAUUCAACGCCGGACAUCUCACCGGAUAAGACUUUUUUAGCUGAAUGAUUGUCAAUCUGAAGGUUUUACAUGACUAGCUGAGAGGUGGUGCAUGGC